rnacentral:rRNA from 1 species
AGGAUCCGAUACUCGUAUUGGAAGCUCCUAGUGGCGAACGGGUGAGUAACGCGUUGGUAAUCUGCCCCAAAGAGAGGGACAACAUUUCGAAAGAAAUGCUAAUACCUCAUGUGAUCAUAUUGAUUAGAUGCUUUAUGAUUAAAGGAGCAAUCCGCUUUGGGAGGAGCCUGCGUCCCAUCAGCUAGUUGGUAAGGUAAUGGCUUACCAAGGCGAUGACGGGUAGGGGACCUGAGAGGGUGGUCCCCCACACUGGUACUGAAACACGGACCAGACACCUACGGGUGGCAGCAGUAGGGAAUAUUGCACAAUGGGCGAAAGCCUGAUGCAGCAACACCGCGUGCACGAUGAAGGCCCUCGGGUCGUAAAGUGCUUUUAUGAGGGAAGAGGAAGGACGGUACCUCAUGAAUAAGGAUCGGCUAACUACGUGCCAGCAGCCGCGGUAACACGUAGGAUUCGAACGUUAUCCGGAUUUACUGGGCGUAAAGCGUGUGUAGGCGGUUUGAUAAGUUGGAUGUGAAAGCUCCGGGCUCAACCCGGAGACGUCGUUCAAAACUAUCAGACUAGAGGACGAUAGAGGAAGGUGGAAUUCCGGGUGUAGUGGUGAAAUGCGUAGAUAUCCGGAGGAACACCAGUGGCGAAGGCGGCCUUCUGGGUCGUUCCUGACGCUCAGACACGAAAGCAUGGGUAGCGAACGGGAUUAGAAACCCCGGUAGUCCAUGCCGUAAACGAUGUAGACUUGGUGUCGGUGGCGUAAAAACUG